rnacentral:rRNA from 1 species
GAUGAACGCUAGCGGCAGGCUUAACACAUGCAAGUCGUGGGGCAGCAUGAGUAGCAAUACUUGAUGGCGACCGGCAAACGGGUGAGGAACACGUACACAACCUUCCUUCAAGCGGGGAAUAGCCCAGAGAAAUUUGGAUUAAUACCCCAUAAUAUAUUUGAUAAGGCAUCUUAUUAAUAUUAAAGCUUCGGCACUUGAUGAUGGGUGUGCGGCUGAUUAGAUAGUUGGCGGGUAACGGCCCACCAAGUCUACGAUCAGUAGCUGAUGUGAGAGCAUGAUCAGCCACACGGGCACUGAGACACGGGCCCGACUCCUACGGGAGGCAGCAGUAAGGAAUAUUGGACAAUGGACGAAAGUCUGAUCCAGCCACGCCGCGUGAAGGAUUAAGGUCCUCUGGAUUGUAAACUUCUUUUAUAUGGGACGAAAAAAAGGGCAUUCUUGUUCACUUGACGGUACCAUAUGAAUAAGCACCGGCUAACUCCGUGCCAGCAGCCG